AUGGCGACGCGGCCGCCGUCCUUCUUCGGCGGGCUCCGGGCGCGGGAGCUCAGCGGCGGCAGGGGCUCCGCGCGCGCCUCCGCGGCGCGGCUGCCAUACCUCUCCGACCUCUCCUCCGACCCCGGCGACCGCGGCUGCGGGGUCAUCUCCGUCGAGCACUCCGGCGACCCCGCCAUCCCUUUCGCCGUCUCCUUCUGCAAGGUCCCGCAGAUCUCUCGCCUUCUGGCGGUCGCCGACGAGGACGGGUAUGUCGCCAUCUACGACACCCGCCGCCGCCUCCCCUCCAGAUCCUCCUCCAUUGAGAAGUCAGCUGAAACGAGGCUGUCCGAUUGGGUUGCUCACAACAAUGCCAUCUUUGACGUGUGCUGGAUCAAGGAGGGAUCCCAAUUACUAACUGCAUCAGGCGACCAAACUGUAAAGAUAUGGAGCGUGGAGAAUAAGAAGUGCCUUGGUGUGCUGUCAGGGCACACUGGAAGUGUCAAGUCAUUGUCAUGCCAUUCUUCAAAUCCUGAUCUUAUUGUUUCCGGUUCAAGAGAUGGUUCUUUUGCACUUUGGGAUCUAAGAUGUGAUCCCAAAACCCCAAAUGGCCAUGGUGAAGCAUGCCUCAUGUCUUCUGCUGUUGUCAAAGAAGCGCACAGUCCCACGCGAAGGAAUCGGACAAGGGCUCGAGCAAAGGGAGCUUCAACAAGCAUCACAUCAGUUCUGUAUCUGAAAGACGAUAUCUCCAUUGCUACUUCUGGUGCUGCAGACAACGUUGUGAAAUUUUGGGAUACACGGAACCUUAAAGCGCCCAUCUCCAACAAAACCUCUCAAUCAACAGCACAACCUUCGAAGGAGGGGGUGACACAUGGGAUCUCUUGCUUGUCUCAAGACUCGUAUGGUGCGUAUAUUGCUGCGUCAUGCAUGGAUCACAGGAUCUAUCUGUAUAGUACUCUCCACAUGGACAAGGGUCCAAUAAAGACUUACACUGGCAGCAAAAUUGAGUCUUUCUUUGUCAAGUCUGCUAUUAGUCCUGAUGGGACUCAUAUUUUAGGUGGUUCGAGCAAUGGCAAUGUUUACUUGUGGCAGGUGGAUCAGCCUGAAAAUGGGCCUAUAGUUCUGAAAGGCCAUGAGGGUGAAGUCACUUCAGUUGACUGGUGCUCUUUGGAGGUUGGAAAGAUAGUAUCAUCAUCUGAUGAUUCCACGGUUCGUGUAUGGAACACCAAGAAAAUAGACUGCACCAACAUUAGUUCCCCAACAGUCAUCCGUAAGAGGGUAACUGCUCCAAACAUCGACUGCCCAAGAUCGGCUAGCCAUGAGCGAGCGACUAGUUCAAGAGAUGUAGCAGCCUGCACCAGUGCUGACAGUGAAUUGCCAACCAGUUCACACUCACCCCUCCGGCCAAGAGUACUGGAGUUUGGCACGCCUGAGUCUGCGAAAAAGAGAGCCUUUUCGGUAUUUCGGGAGGAGGCCUUGGAUACUAGGAACAGCCCAGGAGCUCAAAUGAGCAGUCCCUCUUCAGUCCUGAACCCACCGCCUUCGCUGAAAAGGAAAACUAUCCGGGACUACUUUGGCAGCAGCACAUCUUGA
rnacentral:rRNA from 1 species